AUUGCUUCUCGGCCUUUUGGCUAAGAUCAAGUGUAGUAUCUGUUCUUAUCAGUUUAAAAUUAAAUUAACCUUGGGCUGAAAUUAGCAUAUAAGGUUUUUUCCAAACUAUUCCCAGAUUUUAAAAUUUGUAAUAGGGCAACUGGGUGGCUCAAUUGGUUAAGUGUCCGACUCUUG
rnacentral:snRNA from 1 species